UACGUACCGUCCAAACGUUAUUCGGAAUUACUGGGCUUAAAGGGUAUGUAGGCGGCGCUGUUAGUCGGGUGUGAAAUCCCCAGGCUUAACCUGGGAACUGCAUUCGAGACUGCAUUGCUAGAGUAUGGGAGAGGGAAGUGGAAUUUCCGGUGUAGCGGUGAAAUGCGUAGAUAUCGGAAGGAACAUCAGUGGCGAAAGCGACUUCCUGGACCAAUACUGACGCUCAUGUGCGAAAGCGUGGGGAGCAAACAGG
rnacentral:rRNA from 1 species